rnacentral:lncRNA from 1 species
AUGUACCUUCCUCUAAAGUGUAGCUGUAUAGACCGUGCUUUGAUCCACCUUGAAUUUGCAUGCAGCUUUUCUACUUAUUGCAUAAAUAUCAUCAUGCAGGCGCUCCAUCACCAAGGCAACAAGACGUGGAGCAUGAGCAGUUCAACCUUUGCAGAUAACCCAGAUUUAAUUGGCCAGUCUCCACUCUGUGUGUGCAGUGUUAACAAUGACGGGAAGCACAACAGUGAAAGUAAUAAACCAGUUUGCUGCCUUCUCCCCUGCGUCACAGAUGGACAAACUCCCUUAGGACACUCGUGUGAUGGGAUCCUGCAAUGGAGGAUUGGGAAGAGCACCUUCACCAAAGGUAAGCAGUGAGGUCCCAGGAGAAGAAAGGUGUCUGCCUCUUCCUUGUGUGGGGCAUCUCCAAUAAGUGUGCUCAGGAGAGAGCCGAUGGUCACGCAGUUCCCGUGUCUCUAAGAAGGCUUCCUUGCUUCCAAAUGUUUACUGCAUAGAUAGCUCACUCUGGUCAUAUGUAUGACCAUUAGGAGUUUAUUUCUCUGAAUUAAUGCGCUUUUUUUUUUAAAUUGUUCUUCUUCUUAUUAGACAUAAUGCUACCCCUUUGCUCUCAGUGUUCCAUAUAGUCUCUCCUUAGCUAAUCUUUUAAAAGUGCAAAUAAGUUUGCAUCACUAUUCUGCUUAUACCCUAUAGUGGAUCCCUAGGUCAUUUAGAAUGAAAUUAAUAUUCUUGCUAUGGACACAAGACCAUAAAUCCUACAUAAUCUAGCCUCUGACUGUCUCUCAGUCUUACCUACUCAUCUUAAUCUUUUAUUUCUUACUAGCAACUUACAACUCUCUAGCAUCCUCUUGUUUGUUUAUUUGUCUACAUUCUACUUCCCUCUGACUAGAAUGAAAGCUCCCUGACGUCAGGGACCUCGGUUACUUUGCUCACUGAUUUAGCCCCAGUGCUUAGAAUAGUUCCAGAUACAUGGUAUUUAUUAUCUGUCAACUGUCAGUCAUUCACAUGGAAGCAUUGACAGGCUUUAUCAGAAGGUGAGAGAGUAGUAGUAACUUCUAUAGGAGGGGUGGGGAAAGUUUACACAAGGCUUCACUGCCUCGAGUAAAGCAAAGCAGGAUGGAACUGUGAAUGGCAGGGAGUGUGGUAGGACACCAGACUCCUGGAAGCGGGUGAGCCUGAAAAGGAAAACUAGAGGAGAAAACACAAACUCAUGUCACUUUCGCCCUUCCAGCCUACCUCACUUCAGUGCCCUUCCAAUCCGCUCCCGGCCACCAUCCCACGAUGCUUCGAGUAUCCAGAAACAGAAGAAAAUAACGUGGAUAGUCUUGUUCUUUCUCCAAUGUUAAUACCUCGUUGGCACUCAGAAAUAUUUAGUUUUCUGGGGCCGGCUGGGUGGCGCAGCAGUUAACUUUGCGUGUUCCGCUUCUCGGCAGCCCGGGGUUUGCAGGUUCAGAUCCCACGUGCGGAUAUGGCACCGCUUGGCAAAAGCCAUGCUGUGGUAGGCGUCCCACGUAUAAAGUAGAGGAAGAUGGGCAUGGAUGUUAGCUCAGGGCCAGUUUUCCUCAGCAAAAAGAUGAGGAUUGGCAGUAGUUAGCUCAGGGCUAAUCUUCCUCAAAAAAAAAAAAAAAAACCAGAAAUAUUUAGUUUUUAAACACUCAGUAACUAUUUAUUCCCUACAAGAUACAGCAAGGCACCUGCAACUCUUAGUAAUAUGAUUCUAAACUGUUAUUUCUGGCUCAAACAUAGUCAGUGUUCCCAUUGAUUCUCUGCACCCAAGUGUUCUUUCAACUACUAAAUGGUACCGAUAGUGGUUGGGGGAUGGAAUCAAGUUUCUCCAUCUCAAGGAGGACGACACGGGUAAGAGAAGAAGGACAUUUUUCCACCUCACUGCAAUGGGAAAAGGCAUGGAAUGGAUAACCAGUAGAAAUCUAUUUCAUGCUCACAACAUCCUGUUUUACAAAAGAGGAAACUGAGACUUUAGCUAAAAUAAAAAAUAUGAGGAAAUCA